rnacentral:rRNA from 1 species
CAGUCGCCGCGGUAAUACAGAGGGUGCGAGCGUUAAUCGGAUUUACUGGGCGUUAAGCGUGCGUAGGCGGCUUCUUAAGUCGGAUGUGAAAUCCCUGAGCUUAACUUAGGAAUUGCAUUCGAUACUGGGAAGCUAGAGUAUGGGAGAGGAUGGUAGAAUUCCAGGUGUAGCGGUGAAAUGCGUAGAGAUCUGGAGGAAUACCGAUGGCGAAGGCAGCCAUCUGGCCUAAUACUGACGCUGAGGUACGAAAGCAUGGGGAGCAAACAGGAUUAGAUACCCGCGUAGUCCCUGUCUCUUAUAC